CGGGGCGUGGCGCAGUCUGGUAGCGCACUUGUCUGGGGGACAAGUGGCCGCUGGUUCAAAUCCAGUCGCUCCGA
rnacentral:tRNA from 1 species